AUGGACCAUUGCAAGUGUGGCCAUGACAGUGCGCUGGUAGCUGUCUGUGUGGCCAGACUGCAGCCCUUUCUCUACUCAGCUGUAUGAAGGCAGGUUUAACCCCCAGUGUUGUACAGCUGCAAGUGUAGCCAUC